AGGGAUACCACCGACGGCCCACUCAGUAGGUGGUCUACCCAGCUGAGGCAGCAUGGAGAACAUGGUCGGGAUGGGACAUCGCUACAGAACAACACCAACGUGGAUUAAGGUUUCUUGGUUGUCAUAUUUUCAGUUAUUCUGAAAUUUAUCUGCAGAAGACGUCCACAACGAUUUUAUAUUGAACUUUCAUGUGAAUCUGGAGUUUAUUUCAGUUUUAAAGCGCCUGUCUAAGAGCUGAAACCUCCGGAUCGUCUGCACAAGGAGAAACUGCUACUGUAGAUGAACUGUACUCAAGUCUCCCACAACAAACCAGAGACAUUUAUCAAACUGUCUCCUUUGGUCACCAUCAGUAUAAAUCAGAAACAAAUGACGGGCUGGGAAACAUUUAUGAAAAAAUUUUGAAUUAUAGAUCUGUCUUGAUGAAUACAACAGGAUUUCCUCGUUAUGUUGUACUUCACAACCUUUCUGUUAGUUUGCAUGUUGAACUUUAUCACAAAAAAUCAUUUAUCUUUUGGGCAUUUUUACUUAUUUCUACUUGAUUUUGCUUUUAUGUCAUGUUUCUGACAUAUCUGGUGUGUUUUUUUUUUCUGUAAACAGCUCCCACAUUUUUAUUUUAAAAAUGAGAUAUUA